ACAGAAACCAGGGAGUACCUUCAGUGGUGGGACUCCAGUGAAGUUUGGACAGGGCAACUCUGGAGGCCCACUUUUGUGUCUGAGAACUGGUGGCACCUGGAUUCUGCCUUGGCAGGGCUGGUUGUGCCAGAGGGCGGGAUGCCCUCAGGAGAAGCAGCAUGGCUCAGGGCUCAACAGGCAUCUUCAGGACAUCUCCAGGCUGUGUUUGUAACUUCAUUGUCCAGCACAUGACAGUAAGUUUUGGCUGUGGAAGUGUCACAAUGUUAGUGGAAGAGGGGAAGAUGGAUACUGCUAAUUAGCCUGGCUUGGAUCCCAGGAACACAGAGUGCCACUGGCUCAUUGAGGGUCCAGCAGAGUAUGUCAUAAAAGUAAUAAAGGGAGAAACUGCA